rnacentral:rRNA from 1 species
UUAUUGGGCGUAAAGAGCUCGUAGGCGUUUCAGUAAGGCGGGUGUGAAAACUCUGGGCUCAACCCAGAGACGACACCCGAUACUGCUGUGACUUGAGUACGGUAGGGGAGUGGGGAAUUCCUGGUGUAGCGGUGAAAUGCGCAGAUAUCAGGAGGAACACCAGUGGCGAAGGCGCCACUCUGGGCCGUAACUGACGCUGAGGAGCGAAAGCGUGGGUAGCAAACAGG